ensembl:lncRNA
GGCUGAGAGAGCAGGGGGUGGCGGGGUGAGUGUGUGCCUCUGUCGGCCCUGCCCAUGUGGGUGGACUCUUAAAGGCAACAUCCUAUGCCUGAAAGGAAGCUACUGCUGUAGUCUGGGAAGAAGCGAGAGGGCCUGAAAGAGCCAGAGUUGAAGAGGAAAAGACAGAGAGAGGAACUCCGAAUAGUUCGUCCGGGUGUACUAAGUCCUUUGGUAUCGGAGGAGAGAGAGUAUCACCGUGAUCGAGAGUCAACACGCCCUGGAUUCCAAUCCUGGCACCUGUCCUCUGUCAACCUCAGUUCCCUCAAAUGUAAAAUAGGGACCAACAGUACCUGUACCGUGAGCUUUUCCAGCUUCCCUCCUCCCCUCGCCCCACUCGCCAUCCAGCCCCGUUUAAGCCCACUGCUGACAGACGGACUUCCGCUCCUGCCGAAUAUCGCCCUGCCCAGCCAAGAAUAUUCUAUGCACGCCUUGUUGCUGGAAUGGUUGCCAUCUGAUGGGGAGAGUCUUUCCAAGCUGGGUCUGGGGAUGAGAUUCAUUCAUAAGAAAAAAAGUAAGAAAAAUAAAGAAGAACCAGUUUCAAUACUAUGCAUUGAGUGCUGGCCCUACAGCCUGGUGGUUAGGAAGGCAGACUGUGCCGCCUACUACUCCUGUGACCUUGAACAAUGAUUUACCCCACUCUGCCUCAGGUUUCUCAUCUGUAAAUCAAGGGCAGUAUUGGUACCUACCUCAUAGAGUUGCUGGGAGGAGUAGUGAGUGUGUCAUAGUAAGAAAUAUAUGUUUGGUCUUUGUUCCGGUUCCUGACACAGAGCUCCCAAAUGCCUUGGAAUUUCCCAGGUGAUAGGAGCAUCUUUUGUUCUAAUGACAUGACUCUUGGUGGGCCUCUAGAUAGUGUCUGGAUGGGGGCUGGUCACCAGAAAGACCAAGCCUUGAUUAGAAGCCUGGAACUUUCAGCCCCACACUCUGACCUCAAGGAGGGGAAAGGGGCUGGAGAUUGAGUGGAUCGCCAAUGGCCAGUGAUUCGAUUGGUUACACCUGCAUGAUGAAACUGCCAUAAAAAUCCUUAGACUAUGGGGUUUGGAGAUCUUCUGAGUUGGUGAACACAUCCAGUUGCUGGGAGGGUGGCACACCCAGAGAGGGCAUGGGGGCUCUGUGUCCAUUCCCCGACACCCUGCCCAGUGCAUCUCCUCCAUUUGGUUGGUCCUGAGUUGCAUCCUUUAUAAUAAACUGGUAAUAUAAGUAAAGUGCUUUUCUGAGAUCUGUAAGUUGUUCUAGCGAAUUCUCAAUCCUGAGGACGGGGUUGUGGGAACCCCUUGAAUUUAUGGCCGGUCAGUCAGGAGUACUGGUGACAACCUGGGACUCGCAACUGGCAUCUGAAAUGGGGACAACUUUGGGGACUGAUCCCUUACCCUGUGAGACUUGAUGCUAUUAGGUAGCUAGUGUAGGACACCCAGGUGGUGUCCAGAGAAUUGGAGAACUGGUUGUUAGUGUGGAAAAUACACAGUAAUGUUGUGAGUAAAAAUGGCCCAGAGGGGGUUAAUGUGACAGACGGGAUAAUGGACCCAUGUAAUGCCCACUUCCCAAUCCCUGAAACCUGUGAGUAUGUCACCUAACAUGGCAAGAGACUUUGCAGAUGUGACUAAGUUAAGGAUGUUGGGAUGAGAAAAUUACCCUGGCUUAUCCCAGUGGGUCCAAUGAAAUUACAAGUGUCCUUACGUAUAAGAGGGAGGCAGGAGAGCCAGAAGAUGGAGAAAGGAGCCACAGCCAAGGAAGGCAGGCAGCUUCUAGAAGCCAGAAAAGGCAAGGAAGAGAUUCACUCCUAGAGCCUCGAGCAGGAACAUAGCCCUCCUGAUGCCUUGAUUUUAGUCCAGUGAGACCCAUUUUGAACUUUUGACCACCAGAACUGCAGGGUAAUAAAUCUGCGUUGCUUUAAGCCGCUAAGUUUGUAGUAAUUUAUUACAGCGGGAGUAGGAAGCUGGUACAGUUAACACAGGUAGAGGGCUCAGAGCAGAGCCUGGCAGGUGGGAAGAGCUCCUGAGAGUUGCUUAUUAUUGUUGCGAUUUCUCUCCAACAGCUUCUAGGUUAGAGUUGGGGGAGGUGGCAGUGAAAAAAACACCACCUGCACAAGGUUCCUGACAUCGUGGAGUUUACCUUCACAUGGAGGGGACAGAUUACAAAGAAAGAAGUAAACACAUGUUAACGAAGAGAAAGCCAGCAAAGGGGACUGUUACUGACUGGCUCCUGGGGCUGGGGUCUGUUGCAGAUGGUGAGGGCAGGACAGGCCUUCUGCAGAGGAGGCCACAUUGUGGCAGAAGCCUGAGUGCAGGAGGGAGGGCCAGUGGAGCUCCCCAGGCUGAUGGAGCAGCCAGCCGGAAGGUCCAGAUCAGGGAGAGCAAGAGGUC